GGGGCAUUAGCUCAGUUGGCUAGAGCGCUACAUUCGCAUUGUAGAGGCCGGCGGUUCAAAUCCGCCAUGCUCCACCA
rnacentral:tRNA from 1 species